rnacentral:rRNA from 1 species
UUUUUACAAUGAAGAGUUUGAUCCUGGCUCAGGAUGAACGCUAGCUACAGGCUUAACACAUGCAAGUCGAGGGGCAGCAUGCAGGAAGCUUGCUUUCUGUGAUGGCGACCGGCGCACGGGUGCGUAACGCGUAUCCAAUCUACCCUGCACACGGGAAUAGCCCUGCGAAAGUAGGAUUAAUGCCCGAUGUUCUUUUUUUGUUGCAUGACAGAGAAAGCAAAGAUUUAUCGGUACAGGAUGAGGAUGCGUCCCAUUAGGCAGUAGGCGGGGUAACGGCCCACCUAACCUACGAUGGGUAGGGGUUCUGAGAGGAAGGUCCCCCACAUUGGAACUGAGACACGGUCCAAACUCCUACGGGAGGCAGCAGUGAGGAAUAUUGGUCAAUGGUCGCAAGACUGAACCAGCCAAGUAGCGUGCAGGAUGACGGCCUUACAGGUUGUAAACUGCUUUUAUGCGAGGGUAAAGUGUGCCACGUGUGGCAUAUUGCAAGUAUCGCAUGAAUAAGGACCGGCUAAUUCCGUGCCAGCAGCCGCGGUAAUACGGAAGGUCCGGGCGUUAUCCGGAUUUAUUGGGUUUAAAGGGAGCGUAGGCGGUAGGAUAAGUCAGCUGUGAAAUUGCGUCGCUCAACGUCGCGACUGCAGUUGAAACUGUUUUACUUGAGUGCGCACAGCGGCGCUGGAAUUCGUGGUGUAGCGGUGAAAUGCUUAGAUAUCACGAAGAACUCCGAUCGCGAAGGCAGGUGCCGGGGGCGCAACUGACGCUGAGGCUCGAAAGUGUG